ensembl:lncRNA
UGUCCUUAUUUUUGUUCCAAUAUUUCGAUAGCUGGACGGAAUAUUCGUUAUUUAAAAUGUCAGAUGUCACCUACUUAACGUUACCUACAUGGAUUGGUGGUUCUUUGAAUAUUAGGUUUAUUUACCUGGUGAAUAGUACAUCAUUUAGGUUAACUGAGUGUCCCUACAAGGGUCCAGCCAUUCCUCUGUACUUGGGAGCUGAUCUGUUUUCCAACACUGGCAUCCGCACAGAGAACCAUCCCAGGCAUCAUGCCAAGUUUGCCAAGAAAGGAUUAGCCACUAAACUACAUUUUUCCUCUGUUUAUAGGUUUCAUGGCUUGAAGGUUCCCACCUCCAACAACAGCCUCUGGUUCUACAGUGUUCAGGGACUUUUCCGAAUAGCCUUUGAGUUUUACAGCAAGCAAGACCAGCUUUCUUUGCUUGAGAAUUUUCAGGAUAUAUGGAAAUCACACAUAAACGAUGAUCCUCUACAAAAGGGCUACACCUUCAGUCAGCAGUUAGACCUUACAGUAAUUGGUAAGGAACCAGGAACCAAA